rnacentral:rRNA from 1 species
GACGAACGCUUGCGGCGUGCCUAAUACAUGCAAGUAGAACGCUGAAGAGAGGAGCUUGCUCUUCUUGGAUGAGUUGCGAACGGGUGAGUAACGCGUAGGUAACCUGCCUUGUAGCGGGGGAUAACUAUUGGAAACGAUAGCUAAUACCGCAUAACAAUGGAUGACACAUGUCAUUUAUUUGAAAGGGGCAAUUGCUCCACUACAAGAUGGACCUGCGUUGUAUUAGCUAGUAGGUGAGGUAAUGGCUCACCUAGGCGACGAUACAUAGCCGACCUGAGAGGGUGAUCGGCCACACUGGGACUGAGACACGGCCCAGACUCCUACGGGAGGCAGCAGUAGGGAAUCUUCGGCAAUGGGGGCAACCCUGACCGAGCAACGCCGCGUGAGUGAAGAAGGUUUUCGGAUCGUAAAGCUCUGUUGUAAGUCAAGAACGGGUGUGAGAGUGGAAAGUUCACACUGUGACGGUAGCUUACCAGAAAGGGACGGCUAACUACGUGCCAGCAGCCGCGGUAAUACGUAGGUCCCGAGCGUUGUCCGGAUUUAUUGGGCGUAAAGCGAGCGCAGGCGGUUUGAUAAGUCUGAAGUUAAAGGCUGUGGCUCAACCAUAGUUCGCUUUGGAAACUGUCAAACUUGAGUGCAGAAGGGGAGAGUGGAAUUCCAUGUGUAGCGGUGAAAUGCGUAGAUAUAUGGAGGAACACCGGUGGCGAAAGCGGCUCUCUGGUCUGUAACUGACGCUGAGGCUCGAAAGCGUGGGGAGCGAACAGGAUUAGAUACCCUGGUAGUCCACGCCGUAAACGAUGAGUGCUAGGUGUUGGAUCCUUUCCGGGAUUCAGUGCCGCAGCUAACGCAUUAAGCACUCCGCCUGGGGGGUACGACCGCAAGGUUGAAACUCAAAGGAAUUGACGGGGGCCCGCACAAGCGGUGGAGCAUGUGGUUUAAUUCGAAGCAACGCGAAGAACCUUACCAGGUCUUGACAUCCCGAUGCUAUUUCUAGAGAUAGAAAGUUACUUCGGUACAUCGGUGACAGGUGGUGCAUGGUUGUCGUCAGCUCGUGUCGUGAGAUGUUGGGUUAAGUCCCGCAACGAGCGCAACCCCUAUUGUUAGUUGCCAUCAUUCAGUUGGGCACUCUAGCGAGACUGCCGGUAAUAAACCGGAGGAAGGUGGGGAUGGCGUCAAAUCAUCAUGCCCCUUAUGACCUGGGCUACACACGUGCUACAAUGGUUGGUACAACGAGUUGCGAGUCGGUGACGGCGAGCUAAUCUCUUAAAGCCAAUCUCAGUUCGGAUUGUAGGCUGCAACUCGCCUACAUGAAGUCGGAAUCGCUAGUAAUCGCGGAUCAGCACGCCGCGGUGAAUACGUUCCCGGGCCU